rnacentral:rRNA from 1 species
AGAAUGAACGCUGGCGGCGUGCUUUACACAUGCAAGUCGAGCGAGGCGGCCCGCAAGGGUCAGUCGAGCGGCGAACGGGUGAGUAACACGUGGAUAACCUGCCCAGAGGUGGGGGAUAACCCGGGGAAACUCGGGCUAAUACCGCAUGAUACCGAGAGGUCAAAGGGGGCUCGCAAGGGCUCUCGCCAUUGGAGGGGUCCGCGUCCGAUUAGCUAGUUGGUAGGGUAACGGCCUACCAAGGCGACGAUCGGUAGCCGGCCUGAGAGGGUGAUCGGCCACACUGGAACUGAGACACGGUCCAGACUCCUACGGGAGGCAGCAGUGGGGAAUUUGCGCAAUGGGCUAACGCCUGACGCAGCAACGCCGCGUGGAGGAUGAAGGUCCUUGGAUUGUAAACUCCUGUCAGCAGGGAAAAGCGACUUAGCCUAAUACGCUAGAAGUUGAUUGUACCUGCAGAGGAAGCCCGGCUAACUCUGUGCCAGCAGCCGCGGU